rnacentral:rRNA from 1 species
UGGGCAACCUGCCCCAGACUCAGGGAUAACCCCGGGGAAACCGGGGCUAAUACCCGAUACUCCGAUCGAACCACAUGGCUCGAUCGGGAAAGCUCCGACGGUCUGGGAUGGGCCCGCGGCCUAUCAGCUUGUUGGUGGGGUCAUGGCUCACCAAGGCGACGACGGGUAGCUGGUCUGAGAGGAUGGCCAGCCACAUUGGGACUGAGACACGGCCCAGACCUCCGUACGGGAG